ACCAACUUUUCCAUGCCAACCCGUAGCAAACAAUAAAUGUAAAGCACACCUGAAACAAAAGAUACUUGUUUGGUCUGAAGGACCUUAACUAUGAAAAUGCAGAGAGCCAUGGUGGGUUCUUAAGACUAUUGAGGAUACGCGCCAAGGAUGUGUAGACAUCUGGCUGCCAUCUUGCCCGCGGUAUGUGGCCUGGUCUCUGAUGUGGAUUGA